CGAAACUCCGUCUCAAAAAAAAAAAAAAACUGGAACGAUGCAGAAGAUUAGCACGGCCCCUGCGUAAGGAUGACAUGGAAAUUAAUGAAGCAGUUCCAUAUUUA
ensembl:snRNA U6 U6 spliceosomal RNA